rnacentral:rRNA from 1 species
CCUACGGGUGGCAGCAGUGAGGAAUAUUGGUCAAUGGACGAGAGUCUGAACCAGCCAAGUAGCGUGAAGGAAGACGGCGCUAUGGGUUGUAAACUUCGUUUAUAGGGGAAUAAAACGAGACACGAGUGGGAUUGUGAAUGUACCAUAUGAAUAAGGAUCGGCUAACGCCGUGCCAGCAGCCGCGGUAAUACGGAGGAUGCGAGCGUUAUCCGGCUUGAUUGGGUUUAAAGGGAGCGUAGGUGGAUUGUUAAGUCAGUUGUGAAAGUUGGCGGCUCAACCGUAAAAUUGCAGUUGAUACUGGCCGUCUUGCGUGCAGUUGCGGUAGGCGGAAUUCGUGUUGUAGCGGUGACAUGCUUAGAUAUCACGCAGAACUCCGAUUGCGAAGGCCGUUCCCUGCACUGCUUCUGACACUGCGGCUCGACCGUGUGGGUCUCAAACCGGAUUAGAUACCCCUGUAGUC